AAUCGCUAGUAAUCGCGGAUCAGCAUGCCGCGGUGAAUACGUUCCCGGGCCUUGUACACACCGCCCGUCACACCAUGAGAGUCGGGAACACCCGAAGUCCGUAGCCUAACCGCAAGGGGGGCGCGGCCGAAGGUGGGUUCGAUAAUUGGGGUGAAGUCGUAACAAGGUAUC
rnacentral:rRNA from 1 species